rnacentral:snRNA from 1 species
UAAUCACAACACCACAUAAA